rnacentral:lncRNA from 1 species
GGAUAAUGAGAGGGAAGUUCCAUUCUACCUGAUGGGCCAUUUUCAACUCUGUUUUUGGGGCUAACCUUGCUGGAAGGUGAAGAGGAUUACCCUGUGAGGAACAUAUGAAGUGCCUGGUGGUCCCAGGAUUUCAGAGUGAGCAAAAUGAAAUUGCUGAGAUAACAGCCAAAAAUAUUAAACAGACCAGAGCUCUGUCAGGACCCUGCUAGACAAUUCAUCCAAACGCAUCAUCAUACAACUCUGAUAAAAGGAUCUGUUGGAUUUUCUUUUGGAUGAGAUAGUUCAUUUGUAUUUGCUGCAUGUUAAUGUGACUAGAAAGCACUGAGACCUAAACAAAGUAGAUAAAUCAUUCCAAUGAAGCUAUUUUCAAGAAAGAGCAUUAAGAAAAAUAGAGAGCUAUGGGCAAUCUGCAUUGAUUGAGGACUCCGUUUUGACUUGGGUGGUGCUACAACAGUGUGUGUUUGCAGGCUAUUGAAGUAGAAACUGCUGAACUGUGAAGACUCCUGUAUUUCCCUGUUUGUUGGUAAAGAG